rnacentral:rRNA from 1 species
UUGGAGGGCAAGUCUGGUGCCCGCAGCCGCGGUGAUUCCAGCUCCAAUAGCGUAUAUUAAAGUUGUUGCAGUUAAAAAGCUCGUAGUUGAAUUUCGGGAUUGACGUGAUGGUCAUGCCUUAAGGGGUAUGAACUGUCACUGUUGAUUUCUCACCUUCUGGAGAAACUUGAUGUCCUUUAUUGGGUGUCUUGCGGAUCCAGGACCUUUACCUUGAAAAAAUUAGAGUGUUUAAAGCAGGCAUUUUUGCCCGAAUACAUUAGCAUGGAAUAAUAGAAUAGGACGGCAUGGUUCUAUUUUGUCGGUUUCUAGGAUCACCGUAAUGAUUAAUAGGGAUAGAUGGGGGCAUUAGUAUUCAAUUGUCAGAGGUGAAAUUCUUGGAUUUAUUGAAGACUAACUACUGCGAAAGCAUUUGCCAAGGAUGUUUUCAUUAAUCAAGAACGAAAGUUAGGGGAUCGAAGACGAUCAGAUACCGUCGUAGUCUUAACCAUAAACUAUGCCGACUAGGAAUCAGACGAUGUUAAUUUUUUAAUGACUCGUUUGGCACCCUACGGGAAACCAAAGUGUUUGGGUUC